rnacentral:rRNA from 1 species
GAUGAACGCUGGCGGCGUGCCUAAUACAUGCAAGUCGAGCGAACGGACGAGAAGCUUGCUUCUCUGAUGUUAGCGGCGGACGGGUGAGUAACACGUGGAUAACCUACCUAUAAGACUGGGAUAACUUCGGGAAACCGGAGCUAAUACCGGAUAAUAUUUUGAACCGCAUGGUUCAAAAGUGAAAGACGGUCUUGCUGUCACUUAUAGAUGGAUCCGCGCUGCAUUAGCUAGUUGGUAAGGUAACGGCUUACCAAGGCAACGAUGCAUAGCCGACCUGAGAGGGUGAUCGGCCACACUGGAACUGAGACACGGUCCAGACUCCUACGGGAGGCAGCAGUAGGGAAUCUUCCGCAAUGGGCGAAAGCCUGACGGAGCAACGCCGCGUGAGUGAUGAACGUCUUCGGAUCGUAAAACUCUGUUAUUAGGGAAGAACAUAUGUGUAAGUAACUGUGCACAUCUUGACGGUACCUAAUCAGAAAGCCACGGCUAACUACGUGCCAGCAGCCGCGGUAAUACGUAGGUGGCAAGCGUUAUCCGGAAUUAUUGGGCGUAAAGCGCGCGUAGGCGGUUUUUUAAGUCUGAUGUGAAAGCCCACGGCUCAACCGUGGAGGGUCAUUGGAAACUGGAAAACUUGAGUGCAGAAGAGGAAAGUGGAAUUCCAUGUGUAGCGGUGAAAUGCGCAGAGAUAUGGAGGAACACCAGUGGCGAAGGCGACUUUCUGGUCUGUAACUGACGCUGAUGUGCGAAAGCGUGGGGAUCAAACAGGAUUAGAUACCCUGGUAGUCCACGCCGUAAACGAUGAGUGCUAAGUGUUAGGGGGUUUCCGCCCCUUAGUGCUGCAGCUAACGCAUUAAGCACUCCGCCUGGGGAGUACGACCGCAAGGUUGAAACUCAAAGGAAUUGACGGGGACCCGCACAAGCGGUGGAGCAUGUGGUUUAAUUCGAAGCAACGCGAAGAACCUUACCAAAUCUUGACAUCCUUUGACAACUCUAGAGAUAGAGCCUUCCCCUUCGGGGGACAAAGUGACAGGUGGUGCAUGGUUGUCGUCAGCUCGUGUCGUGAGAUGUUGGGUUAAGUCCCGCAACGAGCGCAACCCUUAAGCUUAGUUGCCAUCAUUAAGUUGGGCACUCUAAGUUGACUGCCGGUGACAAACCGGAGGAAGGUGGGGAUGACGUCAAAUCAUCAUGCCCCUUAUGAUUUGGGCUACACACGUGCUACAAUGGACAAUACAAAGGGCAGCGAAACCGCGAGGUCAAGCAAAUCCCAUAAAGUUGUUCUCAGUUCGGACUGUAGUCUGCAACUCGACUACAUGAAGCUGGAAUCGCUAGUAAUCGUAGAUCAGCAUGCUACGGUGAAUACGUUCCCGGGUCU